AGCGAACGCUGGCGGCAGGCCUAACACAUGCAAGUCGAACGGACCCUUCGGGGUUAGUGGCGGACGGGUGAGUAACACGUGGGAACGUGCCUUUAGGUUCGGAAUAGCUCCUGGAAACGGGUGGUAAUGCCGAAUGUGCCCUUCGGGGGAAAGAUUUAUCGCCUUUAGAGCGGCCCGCGUCUGAUUAGCUAGUUGGUGAGGUAAAGGCUCACCAAGGCGACGAUCAGUAGCUGGUCUGAGAGGAUGACCAGCCACAUUGGGACUGAGACACGGCCCAAACUCCUACGGGAGGCAGCAGUGGGGAAUCUUGCGCAAUGGGCGAAAGCCUGACGCGGCCAUGCCGCGUGAAUGAUGAAGGUCUUAGGAUUGUAUAAUUCUUUCACCGGGGACGAUAAUGACGGUACCCGGAGAAGAAGCCCCGGCUAACUUCGUGCCAGCCGCCGCCGUAAAAC
rnacentral:rRNA from 1 species